rnacentral:rRNA from 1 species
AGUGGCGAACGGGUGAGUAAUAUAUCGGAACGUACCCUGGAGUGGGGGAUAACGUAGCGAAAGUUACGCUAAUACCGCAUACGAUCUACGGAUGAAAGUGGGGGAUCGCAAGACCUCAUGCUCGUGGAGCGGCCGAUAUCUGAUUAGCUAGUUGGUAGGGUAAAAGCCUACCAAGGCAUCGAUCAGUAGCUGGUCUGAGAGGACGACCAGCCACACUGGAACUGAGACACGGUCCAGACUCC